UCUCUGGGGUUGCUGAUUGAUUCUUCUCUU
rnacentral:piRNA from 1 species